UACGUAGGGGGCAAGCGUUGUCCGGAUUUAUUGGGCGUAAAGCGCGCGUAGGCGGCGCGGUAUGUCGUGCGUGAAAUCUCCCGGCUUAACUGGGAGGGGCCGUGCGAAACUGCCGGGCUUGAGGUCGGAAGGGGAAAGUGGAAUUCAGGGUGUAGUGGUGGAAUACGUAGAUAUCCGGAGGAACACCAGCGGCGAAGGCGGCUUUCUGGUCCGAUACUGACGCUGAGGUGCGAAAGCGUGGGGAGCGAUCCGG
rnacentral:rRNA from 1 species